rnacentral:lncRNA from 1 species
CCUGCUUCCAAUCUUUUUAAUCUCUUAAGAAAGAUAUCAUGUUUCUUCAACAUUGGUCUAGUUUUUUUUAAAAAAAAAUCACAUCUAUUAAAAAAAAUGUCUCUAACACGAAGAAAAUACAUUUUUCACAUUUAGUGUGCAGCAGAGAUGAAAUGCAGAGAUGAAAUGAGAACAGUCAUGUGAUGCACUUCUUGCUCAGACGGUACCAUUUUGGAUGGGAGGAUUGAAACCAGCGACAAUUCAAUAGCCAACUUGUCAUGAUGCAUGCUGAAGCCAAGAAUGCUAUCAUGGGCUACACUACAUGGAAGAAAGAUGAUCCACCUUGAGACGGCAGUCAUCGCCCCCACUACAAUCUGUGCAUGGGGAAGCCUACAUUCUGCAUCUUUGUACGGCAAUGCAUCUGCUCAGCUAGGGAUUCCUUCGCACUGCUUCAGAGUGGGUGCAAGCUUUUUGCCUGUUUUGCCAAAGCUAUUCUCAGAAAGCAAAACAUCUGUUUUAUUUUCUGCUACUGUACCCUAAACAAACAACCCUUACAGUUAAGAUAUAGUCUCGUGUGUUUCCAACAGCUUGAUUGCCCGAUGUGCUGUAAUUGCCCAGGUCAUGCUAUCUAGUUUAAAGUUAGAUGUGAUUAGAAGCUUGUGGGAGGUUCGAGUUUAUCCAUAGUAAUUAACACUGAUGCGAUUCUCUCCUUCCUCACCAACUGAGUGAAUCAAAUUGGUAGAGCCGGAUUAUUUCUGGUGGGGCAAAAGGACUUGUUAAUUAGGCCUUCCUCGACCUCCCUUUCAUUUCUUUCACAAGUUCUGUCCUUGAUUUUCCCUUCUAAUGGGCAUGGUGGAAUAGAAUAACUCAAGCCAAUCUAGAAAAAUAACCUCCUCCUCUUCUUCCUGAACCUCAGAAUCUCAAAACUGUCUGAGUCAGAUUGCAGCAUCUCCUUAACCUCUCUACCUCUUCCUUGACCCAACUACUUACUGGUUGUGUUUUGUUCUUUUUUAAAAAACUUUUUCUGGGGGGGUUUGCCCACUGGCUCCGCCCACCUCCUCCUAUAUGUAAGCCUCUUGAAAUAUACUUGGAGUCGAGAGUGGAUUUCAUGCUCUUUAUUCAGCUCAUAGUGGUGAGGAGGAAUGGGAGUUCCCCCAGAAUGUCUGCUUUAUAUACAUUAUUUACACAAUGGACCCUACGUGAUUGGCUAAUUCCAGAUUAUCCUGUAGGCCAAUCAGGUUGUGGAUUCACUUCCACCUGGAGCUGGAUUGGGUGGCUCCUGUGGACCAAUCAGACUGCUGCAGUCUGGGUCCUAUUGUUCUAGGACCAAUCAGACUGCUGCAUUUUGGAUCCUAUUCAACUCAGUACAUAACACCUCUCUAGCACUCUUUUUGAACCUAGGAUAGCUCAGUCGGUAGAGAAUACUCUUAAUGAAGACUCUUAA